rnacentral:rRNA from 1 species
AAUGAACGUUGGCGGCGUGGAUUAGGCAUGCAAGUCGAGCGAGAAGUUUACUUCGGUAAAUGGACAGCGGCGAAAGGGACAGUAAUGUGUAGGUACCUACCCCCGAUCUGGGAUAGCUGCGGGAAACUGCAGGUAAUACCGGAUAAUGUCUUCGGACCAAAGGUGUGAUUCCGUCAGGGGAGGGGCCUGCAUCCUAUUAGCUUGUUGGUGAGGUAAUGGCUCACCAAGGCAACGAUGGGUAGCGGGUGUGAGAGCAUGACCCGCGUCAUUGGGACUGAGACACUGCCCAGACAUCUACGGAUGGCUGCAGUCGAGAAUCUUCGGCAAUGGGCGAAAGCCUGACCGAGCGACGCCGCGUGCGGGAUGAAGGCCCUCGGGUUGUAAACCGCUGUCGUUGGGG